UUGCAAUUUGAAAAACUUUGGGCAAUUAAAAAGGAGAAAACGAGUUGAGGAAGAAAGAGGGGCUGCAAUUGAUAGAUACAUACCAACAGAAAACGCAAGAGAGGGACAAGUCCGCCGAAGGCUCAAUUGAAGACACAAAACGUCAGAAUAAAAGAACAAGUCGGCCUGUUGCUGAGGGAUAAUUAGUGGGCUACAAAGUUGAAUUAAACACACAUAUAUAUACCCACAUAAAGCUGAAAGUGGGAGGAGGAUUGGAGUGCCUUUUUGAUAAUCAAACAUUGGGCAACAAGAUUGGAAUAAACCAUAUAAAUUCAUAGAAAACACAAGCUGCUGAGGAUUGGAAUUGUAUACAAAAAGUGGCGGCUGGAAUUGAUUUUGGAAUUUAGAUUACAAGUGGCGGCUGCUGGGGAAAUAUAUACAUAUUUUACACGCAUGCAAGCCCGGAAUUGGAUACAUCUACACGGUAAAAGAGAACAGUUUGGAGACGGAAUUGGGCUGAAAUUUUGAUACGUGUAUUAAUCACGUUUCGUCGAUUUUUGGUGAUAUCUUUUAUCCUUUGUUGUUUAAUUUCAACAUUCUGCUCGGCU
rnacentral:lncRNA from 1 species